rnacentral:rRNA from 1 species
UACGAAGGGAGCUAGCGUUGUUCGGAAUUACUGGGCGUAAAGGGCGCGUAGGCGGACAUCUAAGUCAGGGGUGAAAUCCCAGGGCUCAACCCUGGAAUUGCCUUUGAUACUGGACGUCUCGAGUUCGGGAGAGGUGAGUGGAAUUCCGAGUGUAGAGGUGAAAUUCGUAGAUAUUCGGAGGAACACCAGAAGCGAAGGCGGCUCACUGGCCCGAUACUGACGCUGAGGCGCGAAAGCGUGGG